rnacentral:rRNA from 1 species
ACCUGACUGCUAUCGGAUUGAUACUAAGCCAUGCGAGUCUUUGUAGUAAUACAAGGCAGACGGCUCAGUAACACGUAGUCAACCUACCCUAUGGACAAGAAUAAUCUCGGGAAACUGGGCAUAAUUCUUGAUAGAUCAUAAUGCCUGGAAUGGUUUAUGGUUAAAAUGAUUCGUCGCCAUAGGAUGGGACUGCGGCCUAUCAGCUUGUUGGUGAGGUAAUGGCCCACCAAGGCGAUUACAGGUACGGGCUCUGAGAGGAGAAGCCCGGAGAUGGGUACUGAGACACGGACCCAGGCCCUAUGGGGCGCAGCAGGCGAGAAAACUUUGCAAUGUGCGAAAGCACGACAAGGUUAAUCCGAGUGAUUUCUGCUAAAGAAAUCUUUUGCCAGUCAUAAAACCACUGGUGAAUAAGGGGUGGGCAAGUUCUGGUGUCAGCCGCCGCGGUAAAACCAGCACCUCAAGUGGUCAGGAUGAUUAUUGGGCCUAAAGCAUCCGUAGCCGGCUUUGUAAGUUUUCGGUUAAAUCCAUGUGCUCAACGCAUGGGCUGCCGAAAAUACUGCAUAGCUAGGGAGUGGGAGAGGUAGGCGGUACUCAGUAGGAAGGGGUAAAAUCCUUUGAUCUAUUGAUGACCACCUGUGGCGAAGGCGGUCUACCAGAACACGUUCGACGGUGAGGGAUGAAAGCUGGGGGAGCAAACCGGAUUAGAUACCCGGGUAGUCCCAGCUGUAAACGAUGCAGACUCGAUGAUGCAUUGGCAUAAUAGCCAGUGCAGUGUCGCAGGGAAGCCGUUAAGUCUGCCGCCUGGGAAGUACGUACGCAAGUAUGAAACUUAAAGGAAUUGGCGGGGAGCACCAC